rnacentral:rRNA from 1 species
CAGUAGCCGCGGUAAUACGAGGGGGGCAAGCGUUGUUCGGAAUUAUUGGGCGUAAAGGGUGCGUAGGCGGUUUGGCAAGUUUGGUGUGAAAUCUUCGGGCUCAACUCGAAGUCUGCAUCGAAAACUGCCGGGCUUGAGUAUGGGAGAGGUGAGUGGAAUUUCCGGUGUAGCGGUGAAAUGCGUAGAUAUCGGAAGGAACACCUGUGGCGAAAGCGGCUUACUGGACCAUAACUGACGCUGAUGCACGAAAGCUAGGGGAGCAAACAGGAUUAGAUACCCCUGUAGUCCUUGUCUCUUAUAA